AUUGAACGCUGGCGGCAGGCCUAACACAUGCAAGUCGAGCGAGCGGCGGACAGGUGUGUAAUGUAUGGGGACUGCCCGAUAUAGGGGGAUAACUACUGGAAACGGUGGCUAAUACAGCGUACUGCGUGAUAACCCAUAUGGGAUUAUCUAGUAGGUAAGGUAAUGGCUUACCUAGGCGACGAUCCCUAGCUGGUCUGCGAGGAUGAUCAGCCACACUGGGACUGAGACACGGCCCAGACUCCUACGGAGGCAGCAGUGGGGAAUAUUGCACAAGGGGCGCAAGCCUGAUGCAGCCAUGCCGCGUGUAUGAAGAAGGCCUGAGGGUUGUAAAGUACUUUCAGUCGGGAGGCGUUACCGACAGAAGAAGCACCGGCUAACUCCGUGCCAGCAGCCGCGGUAAUAC
rnacentral:rRNA from 1 species